GACACUUUCGCAGAGUGGGUCCCCGUCGCGCGGCGCCGCGGAAAGGCUGGAACGGCGCGGGUGGGUGUUAGUCGAGACCGGGGGGCGCGGGGCGUGCCCCUUGGUCGGCGUCGCAGCCCGAUGGGCUGGCUGGUUGCUACCUCCGGGCGACCAGGGGCCUGGGGACUUCGUGCCUGGGCCAGGGUCUCUUUCCUUUCGCGGGCACAGUGAGGAGACUGCGAGGUGAGGUGCGUCCGGGUGGAUCCCGGGCUGCGGCGACUGUCACAUUCUCCCCGGCCAGACCGGAGGUGGAGCAGAACUGGGGGCGACGAGCUUGACUGGGAUUGCAGCUGGACGUAUUUAGGUUCAAAACAUCCUCCUCCUGGCUUUCUUCCGCUCCACUCUUUGGUCAGGAAGACUGGGGCGGGGUACCCCCCAACCCAUGCCCUCAAAUUGCUGGCCUAGAGGGCACAGCGCCUUUCUAAAAGCUGCAGUUGGGUUGCCUCUAAAAUAAUGAAGCUAACCCUUGCUAAUUGUGGGGAAAAGAUAGCCAGAAGCAGCAAAUUUCUGCUGUGGACGUCCGAUAUAAACUGAUCCUCUUGAGAUGGUUAAUGCUUAGUUGGCUAUACCUGCCCCCCGCCCCCGCCGCUUUUUUUUCCUUUAUCCGUUUUUUUUUUUCUUUUUUCUUGAGACAAGGUCUUGCUCUGUGGCCCACGCUGGAGUGCAGUGUCAUGAUCAUAGCUCACUAGCCCUGAACUCCUGUGCUCAAGUAAUCCUCCCGCCUCGGCCUCCCAAAGUGCUAGGAUUAUAGGCAUGAGCUACUUUACCCAGCCUGUUUUUUUCUGUGCAAAUAAAUGCACAUGUAUUUUAGAUUAGUUUCAUUUUUAUUGUUAACAGCAUUUUUCCACCAGAUGCUUAUGGAUUGACAACUCUACAGUUUGAAUGUUUGUUCCUAAUCCCCAGUGAAACAGUAUUAAGAGGUGGAGCCUUUAAGAGGUGAUUGGGUUAUGAGGUCGUGCCAUUCAUGUGUUAUUGGACCCAGAAGGCAAAGGUUGAGGUGGAGGUUACAGUGAGCCAAAGUCGUGCCACUGCACUCCAGCCUGGGCAACAGAGCAGGACUCCGUUUCAAAAAAAAAAGGAAGAGAGACCUGAGCUUGCACACAGCCUGCUAGCCAUGUGAUGCCCUGUGCUACCUCAAGACUCUGCAGAGUCCCCACCAGCAAGAAGGCCCUUGAUUUUGGAUAUCUCAGCCUCCAGAACUGUAAGAAAUAAAUUUCUCUUCUUUAAAAAUUGCCCAGUCUCAGGUGUUCUUUUAUAGCGAUGCAAAAUGGACUAAGACCCAAGUCUAUUCAUAAGAGUGGAAUUCUUUUGGGGGAUAACAUUUCACUUAAUUGGG
rnacentral:lncRNA from 1 species